rnacentral:misc_RNA from 1 species
CAGGAGAUUUUCUAAAAAUAAUUCACGAACAAUUUAUGGUUCUUCAGCAAAAUAAAAAGCAAAGAAAAAAGGAUUAUGGCCGCUUUGGUCCUAAAUGUCCUCGUUUACCCUAAAAGAAAGAGACACGUUUAAUUGGAAGCUAAGAGCCAACUCUAAAAAACGGGAAAUAUCACGCAUGCUACACAAAUUGAUUGUCUACCAGUAAUCGAUAAUAUCUAAGCUGUUGAGAUUAUUGGGUCACAGGCUGUUGUACAUAACACCAUUACUGAUAAAAAUGAUUUCACCGCACUUGUAAUAGUAGCAUAAAUAUAUCCGCUGUGGACAAGAAAUAAUCCUUUUUGUGCUGCAUACCAAUUAGCUGUUUAACACAUGACGAAGGGUCAGUGGAGCUCACAAUCGACCUCACUAUGCAGAUUGGUAAUAUUUAGAAUCGGUCACCGAAAACAACAAAGGCAGGGAAAAAAGAUUUCUAAGCAAUUUAGGCUCAGGCAAAGUGAAAAGGAAAUAACCAAAAAGCCAAAUUACCAUAAAAUAAAACCUGAAAGCAAACACCGCCAUCGCAAAAUCGCCACAAAGGCCACCUAAAAGCAAACAAUACUGUCACCGUUGAUUUUUUUCCCGCAAUCAUCACCACCAGCACCAGCAUACUACAGGUACCGAUCAUCAUUCCACCACCGUCACCUUCAUCAUAACUGUUGGCACCAACUAGAAAUCCAACAAUUAUGGACCAACUAUGGUCUCUAUCUUCAAUGAAAUUUCGGCAAAAUGGUCCUGCACUAGGGUGUAGGGCCAUUGGUUUCAUGAAUGAGGCAACCAUUCUACUGUUUCUCCCAAAUGAUCAUCUUAUUAUCUCAUCAAACAGAUGGUUAGCAAGGGCAGAAAAACAUUGAAGUGAGCUAAUAACUGUCCCUGCAAGCCAACGAAAUUGAGGACUGAACAUUUUUUGAAGUACAAGCCGCCUAUCUGGAAACAAAAACCUCCCAAUUCCCUAUUUCUUGCAAUAUAUUCUCGCAUUAGCCAUCAAGUGUGAUAUGAAAAAAAAAUAAUAAUAAAACCCUCAAGCCUGAGUAUGAAAAGAAAAAUAAAAAUAAAACAAAACCCUCAAGCCUGCACCUGAUAGAUGAAACUUAACAGUUAACGUACAAUUUCUCUUAUAAAGUAGGACGUACGAUGUAUCUUUAUGUUUCUUAAAUACAUAAUUUUCUUACUUGUUACCUGACCCAUUUUCUGGGCUCAUUCAUCAUUGUAACGGUACCAACACAAUUAAGAUAUUUGAAUUUUAUUUUUUGAAGACCUAAAUCUCCUUUUCAGACUAUGAUGGAAACUGGGUACUUAUCACCUCCUACAACCAAGAAAUGCGUUCCUUCUUCCAUCACUUUCAGACCAACUUCAUUAACUCUGCUGAAGUGCUCGCAAGGGCUCAGUUCAAAUUCAAUUUCAGCUCUUUCCCCUGCACUUAGUAUCACACUUUUGAAUCCAAUCAACUCUUUCCUUGGCCUCCCAUUUCCAUGCCUUGCUUGUCUCACAAAUAGCAAUACUGGAUGCUUACCGGCCAUCUCCCCUUGGUUCUCCACUCCAACUCUAACUGAGAACUCACUUUCCUUACAGAAUUCUGUGCCCAACUCAGAGACCAAUGUGGAGCGCACAGAGUCUGAGUUGUCAAUUACAUGCACUGUUGAAGAUUGAUUUAAAUAGAAUUUGUUUCGGGUGACAGACUUGAGUUCAUAAGAGUAAUUCGAGUAGCUGAGGCCAUAACCAAACUCAAAAACGUUCUGGCCUUUGUAGAAUCUGUAUGUUCGGCCGGGAUAGCCUGAAGAGGAAUCAGGACGCAUCCUCAUAUCUGUCAUUGGUACUUUGACAAAUUCUUGUGGAUACCAGGUCAUUGGUAAUCUCCCUCCUGGAUUGUGAUCACCAAAUAUGAUUUCUGCAAGUGCUAUCCCACCAGCUUCACCAGGAUAACCAGCCCAGAGAAUGCUUCCAAUGUUCUUGUCAUUCUUGGCAAAAGAUACAUCAACUGGACCUCCGGAAAGAAGCACUAGAAUAAUUGGAUUCUUUGCAGAUUUUGCAACAUUGAUGAUGAGAUCUUGUUGCUUCCCUGGCAGCACCAAGUCUACACGAUCAAGUUCCUCCCUCUCUUGAGUUUGAUCGAGUCCCAUUACCAGUACCACAUGGUCCGCCCCUCUUGCUAUGUCAACUGCCUUGUCAAUGGAAGCUGAAGAGCAUUGAACUGUAUCACACCCUGGGUGAUAAAUAGUGUUUUUGAUGUAGUCUUGCAGUGCUUGCAAUAGCGUUACAGAUUUGCAUGGAGGGCCUGCAUAGUUUCCAAGAAGUGUUUGUGCAGAAUUGGCAUUAGGGCCAAUUACCGCAAGGGACAUGGUCCUAGAUUUUGUAAGUGGGAGGAGUCUUGCAGAGUUUUUCAAGAGGACAAUGCCAUUGCGAGCUGCUUCAAGGGCUAGUAUCUGGUGCUCCUGGGAGCAGACCUGGUCAGGACCAAUGUUGCUAAAAGGUUGUUCCGCUGGAUUUCCAUUGAAAAGUCCUAACCUCAUUCUUACAGAGAAGAGGUUGUGAAGGGCUCUGUCUAUUUCAGAUUCAGGCAGUUUUUUCUGCUCCACAGCUGCUUUGGUGUGUUUUUGCAAGUAUGAUCCGCAAUUGACAUCCAUCCCAGCUUUAAGUACAUCAACCACAGCAUCUUCUGGUGAUUUAGCAUAUCCUUGAUCAUCGUAGAUGAUGGAAACCGCGUCACAGUCAGAUGUGAUGUACCUGAUGAUUAUUAUUAUUAUUGUUGUAAUAUUAUGAUAAUCAACCAGUCAAUAAUUGCAAUCAAAUCCACCACUUCUUAUCGUCUAAAAUACCCAUCGUAAGAAAAUACUUGCAAUGCAAAUGAAGCACUUUUUAAUACCCAUGAAAAUCCCAUUGCCCUCUAGCAGUUCUGGAAAGGAGAUUGAAAUCUGCGCAGCUCGGGAUUCCAUUAACUCUAUUGUAAGCACACAUGAUGCCACUUGCUUUUCCUUGUUGAACACAACUCUGGAAUGGUGGCUGAUAGGUGUCUGCUAAAUCUUGCACAGUAACCUGAUUUAAAAAGUAAAAUAAAUAAACAUAGCAUUAUAUAAUAUCCUUAAAACAUCUGUUCACACAAUAGCCAAUCAUGCACAUUCACCGUUGUAUUACGCAAAGCAUUUAUUUUAAGUAUGAUCCAACCGGAGCAAAAUUCACAUAUACACACGUAAUUAUCCACCCCAUAAGAUGAUAACCUGUUCAGACUUCAGCAAAUAUUAAACCACAAGCGUGUGAAUAAGAAAAUCUUAAAAGUUGCUUGACUAGAGAAAAGAAGAAACCCCACCCCUACCCUUAUUUUCUUCGAAAUCAUUUAAAAUUUGUGCAAAAUUCAAGAUCAGGAAAGUAACGUUGUUAUUCUUUUCAAGUUGUGAUUUAUUCACCAAUUGCUUCGUUAGGAGAAGUUAGGCAAUACCCACAAAGCCAAAUUAACAUGAAUCCAAAGCCAAAAUAAAGAACAUCCACCAACCCAGAUGUUGGAUAAAAUAGAUUAAGAUAAAAAUGGUUGAAGCCAAAAAAAUGUUGGAUAACAUCCACCGAUCCAGGAAAGGGCCAAUGGGCUGCAGACUUACACGAGCAUCAAACACAAAGCGGUUCACACCCUUCCAAUUGUCUAAAUCAUAAGCAGUAAAAUGCUUACAACAAGCUGAAGCUUGAAGAUGCCCUUUAAGCUUCCCUCCCUGAAAAGAAUCCCCCUGAACUCCUCUCACAUAUGAAACUGCAUAUUUCCCUGUCACCAGGGGAUCCUCCCCUGGCGUCUCUUGCCCUCUCCCCCAUCUCGGGUCCCUAAAUAUGUUAAUGUUUGGUGCCCAAAAUGUCAUCCCUGUAGCUUGACCUGCAUUGUACAAUGCUCUUGCUUCUCUUCCAAUCACCUGACCAAUGCGAUACCACUGAUACUCAUCAAAAGAAGCGGCAGUAAGAAUGACCUGAGGGAAGCUAGUGGCGGCUCGAAUGGUGCCGUCAAAAUGAAUUCCACGUCCCACAUUGGCGAUCCCAUGUAAUGCUUCGGACCACCACUCAUAAGCCGGGAUACCGAGUCGGGGAACCGGUGGGGCUGAGCUAACGAGUUGGGAAAUCUUCUCAUCUAAUGUGAGCCUAGAAACAAGGUCCCUGGCUCUUUGGGUGAUGGGUAAUGUGGUUUCACAAAAAGGGUAGGAGCUUGUUGAUGGGUUUGAUGGAUCACAAGAAAAUGGAGGCUGAGUUGAGGCAAUUCGGAGGACAAGAAAAGUGAAGAUAGUAAUGGUGAGGCAAGAGAAAGCUUGGGGUCUCAUUAUGGAGGUUUUUUAGUGAAGUAUACAAUGAGUGGGCAGCGACGAGCAAGAGCUGGUAGCUAUGGAGGUGAAAAUGUAAUGAGUGGGCAGUGACGAGCAAGAGCUGAUAGUUAUGGAGGCGAAAAUGCCAUUGAACUGCAGUUUUGUCGGUCACUGAUGUUUUUGCUGAAAUGUCGCAAUUCACUUAUUUUUUUAGUUAGAGAUACUAUCAAUGAAAAAGCAUACAUAGCGAAGCCCAGAAUAAGAGUUGAUAGAGAGUAAAGAGCUAACAAACGUCAGAGACAUACAACCUAAUGAAACCUAACUCAUAAAACAUAUAAUCCGAUCCGU